rnacentral:misc_RNA from 1 species
GAUGAAGAACGUAGCGAAAUGCGAUACUUGGUGUGAAUUGCAGAAUCCCGUGAACCAUCGAGUCUUUGAACGCAAGUUGCGCCCGAAGCCAUCAGGUUGAGGGCACGUCUGCCUGGGCGUCACAUAUCGUUGCCCAAUGCCUAUUGCAGUGCAAUAGGAAUUUCUAGGGCGAAUGAUGGCUUCCCGUGAGCGUUGUUGCCUCGCGGUUGGUUGAAAAUCGAGUCCUUGGUAGGGUGUGCCAUGGUAGAUGGUGGUCCAGUUAGAACGAUACCGAUCAUGUGCAUGCUCCCCAAAAUAUGGCCUCUAUGACCCACACGCGUCUUUUGACGCUCAUGACGAGACCUCAGGUCAGGCGGGGCUACCCGCUGAAUUUAAGCAUAUCAAUAAGCGGAGGA